CAGGUUCUGAGGAUGCUGGGGAGGAGAUGCUCCUGGCAUGUUAGAUAAUGCUGAUGUGAACCCAGAGAACCUCCUCGGUCACGUCCUGCGGUGUGUCAAGUAGGUAUGCCCUAGCGCCUGCCCUGGCUGCACAGUUAGUUUGGGAGGGGUUGUAUGUUCGGAGGCCAGGCAGGGUCUGCCACUGUGUGCUCCUGACUAGGCUGAGUUACUCCUCUGUAGUGAAUGGGUGGGGGCAGCUGGAGACCUUCUGCUUGUCUCGUGACGUCACUGGUUGUGCAGCCUUUGGAAACCCCAUGUGCACAUGAGAAGAUGAGAGUGCAAAGGAAGGGUCUCUCAGAGUCAUAGGAAGAUGAUUCUGGUCUUGUGGGUCACUUUGAGGACAGAUGCUCCACCCAACGGAAACACUGCCCCUCAAAGCCUCUUUGGCUGAUAUAUCAUAGAAUUGCCACUUGAUGGCAGCAGAGGUCAACUAAAACCCUAGAGGCAUCACUAGCUGGUGACUUAGGUCUGGUGGAGGGUGGGGUCCUUGAUACUUCUCUUCCUGUCUCUCGGUUCUCUGUGCUACUGGGGACUGUCAUUUUCUUGGAUUCCAGACUCUGUGGCUAUCUGAAUAAUCUCAACAAAGUCUGCCUGUUUGGACCUCAGUUUUCCUCAUCGCCAAACACCCACAGUCUUCUUUUACCUGCUGUCGGAAUCUUCAGUAAGAACCAAGGACAGAAGUGCUUCUUGAGAGAGUCCAGCUCUCCCAGUACAGCCCAUCUCUCUCCAGGUGAGCCCUCCUCAGUGUUUGCUGCCGGAGUGGAGUCUUAUCUCACACAAUUUUACAGAAAAGCCGAGGGGAAGCACCCAGCCGGCAGGUGGUUUUGAUGUGGCGAUGAGCUCCAGUUGACAUCGCUCAGUUCCUCUCCUGAAGCAGCAGCUGUGUUGUUGGGACCCUCCCCUGCCUGCAACCCCACUGAGGUCAGUGCAGACUGCAAACCACACUGAGUGGUCUGACUCAGAAGACCCGGAUGCAGGGGAAGCCACCGGGGUUGCCACGUAGCCAGCCAGCCAGGGAGCUGCAGAAGUCUCCGUUCCUCCUGGAGAUGACCCAGAGCCAGAGACAAGCCGUCAUGUUGCUUCAAGUUUUCUGCUGCAGCUCUGACCCAAAGGCCCUACUCCUUUGGUGUCAGCAUCCACUCAGAAGUCAGUUGUCACAUGCGAACACAGAACUCACCGGACACUUGUUACUCUUCAGGACUUCAACUGUCCUUUUCACCCGAGAGAAAAAAACGAAGAAUUUGGAUUUCCUUGUGGCAUUGGUCACCUGUGACAGGCCCUCCUGGAAGCACGGUGUGGUGCAAUCAUCCUGGUAAAUGAUAAGGGCUUAGGAAAAGGGUUCGUGAAAACUGUCUAGGACAGCUUUGAGAAAGAAUCACCAAGAGAAUUUUAAAGAGCAUCUUCAUCUAAACGGUGUCACCCAAACUUGUGCUAUGUUCACAUCUGUUCCUUGACAGUCCAGGAAAUGAUCUUAAGUAAUUUAAGGUGAGUCAUUUUUCUAGUGACACCCCCGGAGGAGAUUCUGUCCAGGAAAUGUGGGCCUGAUGCCAUGACAGAGGCCAUGCUGCGUCUGCCUUGCACCUGGUGGCCCCGGCCAGGUCCAGUGGUUGCGAGUUUGAAAGUCCAGAAAAGGAAAAGCCUUUCUCACACCAGCUGAGGCAUGCCAUUGGACAGGGCUCAUGUUUCAGACAAGCUAAAAUCCUACCCUGAGAAAGGAGGGAACAGGCUGGACCCUUCCCGACCACAGACCCCAGAGGAUGGGGCGUCGGACCUCCACAGGGUUCCAAAGCCAGCUUCUCCCAGGCCCAGCUUGCAGGGUGAGCCCUGCAGAGGUCUACCUGACUGCUCUCUCAUCCUGAGCAGGAGUUAAAGCAGGACCACAGCCUCCCUGCUCCUCCUUCACUGCCACAGUGGCAGCGGCUCUCUUGGGGUCCUAUUCGGUCCCCAGCACCAAACUUUGAUGCUGUCCUCCUAGAGGACAGUUGGAACCAUUUGAAAGCCACCAAAAGCCAGCAGGAAGAUGAAGGAAGAAAAAGUGGUAGGGGCAGGGAGGAGGAGGAGCUAGAGAAAGGAGAGGUGUGUGACAUCCAGGUAGUCCACGCCUGGUGCUGUUACUUUGUUUCACAGACUGGAGUCAUCAGCACAUGAAUCAGAAAGCAAUAUCCAUAUUUUUUUCAUUUUGUGAAUGACCAUUUAUCUCAAGAUAGUCAAUAAAUUUUAGACUCUGAAAAAUAUUCAAAUUUCUCAAGGGCCAUGAGGCUAACUUAAAUACAUAGAUAUAUGUAUAAUGUACAUAAAAACAUACAAGUUUUAAAGGUGGGGUCUAUACUAUAACAGUUACACUUGAAUAAUAAUUUAAAACUUAGAAUGUCAAGUAAAUUGUGUUACUUUUCUUCAAAGCUUAAACAGAGUCCCAAUGAUCUUUUUCAAUUAUACUUACAGAUGGGAUGGGAAGACACAAGCAGCUGGUUACCUGCAAGAGAGAAAUCUCAGCAUAAACAUUCUAGCUGUGAACGUUAAGACAGGUUUGGAAGGCUCUUAAGAAAUCAUUCACUCACAUUGGUGCUGCAACUGCAUUUUGAGGCUGGGUCUCCCUAUAGUAGGCAAAGAGAUGAUAACUCAGAGUGAGUAGAGUGCCCUUCCUCAUCCUCCAGGGAUGGCUCACACAGUUGCCAGCUCCCCCCAGCCCCAUAAUCUACCUGCAGCUUCUCAAUAAGGAAACUGGUGUCUCUGAUCACCCAUGUGGUGUUGCAUUUCCGGUCCAGCACAGAACCAAGAGAACCGAAGAGCAGGGCAGAGGCAAGGAUGGAG